rnacentral:lncRNA from 1 species
AUAAUAUAUUACAAUUUCCUAUCUUGAACCUUCUAAAUUGUAUUUUUUUUUUUGAGAGAUAGGUAGCACACUAUCCGCUUCGUUUAUUUCAUUUAGAAAUAAACUUAGCUAGAAAUGUGAAUCAAAUAGGAUUCGAACUUGGGUCUUGGGUACCAACCACCAAAUCUUUUGUCACUUGCUCUAGAGACGGUCGGUGAACCUUAUAAAUUGUUACCGUUAAAUUCCACAACUCAUAUUUUGCUAAUAUAAAAAAAUAAUAUAAUAAUAUUAUGAUUGAUAACACACAAUAAUAAAAAUAUUAUAUUAUUUUUAUGUCAAUGAUAUAUAAAUAUUUAGUUAACUAAAUUAGCAUGUAGGACUUAAUCACGAUAGUUUAAAUUUAUAAAGUUUAAACCAUAAAUUAUAACAAUUUUCUUUGUUUUUUCAAAUGAGCCAAUUAGGUUAUAUUGGGAAGGACCCACAAUGGGGGCAAAAGAGUUUGGAAUGUGCCAAACUGCCACUGCACCAAACCAUGUCCCCAUCUAAUUAGGGCAUGUUUGGUUUAUCUUUAUUUUAUUUUAUUUUUAUUUUAUUUUUUUAACUUAGGAAUGGAGAAAAUCGAAAUAGAAUUUUGGCGCAUCAAAUACCAACAAACAGAGUUUCAUUCCGAUUUCGAUUCUCCAAUAGAAUAAAAAUCUCGCAAUUACGCUUUUUCUAAUAUGACCUUUUAUGCCGGAUUGAAAAUUGAAUUCGGACAUAAUGGAUAUUUGUCUGAAAAAAUCUCAAUUAUUUUUUUUUCAAAUUAAAUUUAACAUUUUUAACUAUAAUUUUUAUUUAAAAUAUAAGCUUUAAAUUUAGAAAUUGACUUUUUAUUUAAACU